AGUGGGUAUGACUUUCUCUUCUGUCGACCAUGCAUAUCAUUUCUACAGCAAGUACGUUGAAGAGGCUGGUUUUGGAAUAAAGAGGUACCGUGAGAAGACGUACGUGAAGUGGUUAAAUUGCACCCGAGAGGGUGCAUCUGCAAGCAGCAACUCUCCUGUCCCAAAGGAGCGCAACAGGGGUACAAAGAGAGGUGGGUGCAAGGCUGGGAUGAAACUACGGAAACAUUUGAACUCCAACAAGGAGGUUACAUCAGUUGCAAUUGAGGUGUUCGAAGCAUCACACAACCACCCAAUGCUCACUAAACAAGCGGCAAAACACUAUUAUUCAGCAAAGAAGCGGGACCCAACCUACAAGGAAUUCAUCAACCAGCUUAAUGACGCCUGUAUACAUAAACUUGAUGGAAAAUAUACAUGGAAGGCCAGAAAACAUGCCUUUGACCAGCCGCGACAUGCAAAAUAUGCAUGCAGACCAUGUACGCGAGAACCAAGCAAUUGAUAUCAGUAAGCUUCUAGCAUUCUUUGGUGAAUGCAAGGUUGAGAACCCACAGUUUUUUUGCGACUACCUAUUAGACAAAGAGGGGAAGAUAAUGAGCAUUCUCUGGUCCCAUGCAAGUCAGCAGGGAAAUUACGCUGACUUUGGUGAUGUCUUUACCUUUGACACUAUGCACAGCACCAAUAUGUAUGACAAGCCCCUCGCUAUGUUCGUGGGCGGUAGCAACCAUUUGAAGAAUAUUGUCUUUGCAUUCACGCUGCUUGGCGAUGAGACCAUGGAGACAUUUGAAUGGGUUUUCUCUACCUUCAAGAGGUGCAUGGGUGGGACGGAGUCGAGGGUGAUCCUAACAGACCAGGACCCAGCAAUGCCCGAUGCUAUAAAAAAGGUGUUUCCAACAUCUAUCCACAGGUUGUGCAGAUGACAUGUGUUGAUAAAAUUCAUGCCAUAGCUCAACGAGUUGUAUGCAUGAUUUGAGAAGAGGAACUUCAAGGAGGUGUUCCAAUCAGUGAUAAACCAUCCACUGACUGUCACUGAGUUUGAACAGGCAUGGGAAUGGAUGCUGGGGGAGUUUGAACUUCGUGGAGACCCAACAUUGCAGUCGCUGUAUGAGAUGCGAACGCAAUGGGUUCCAGCCUACAUGAAGCCACUGUAUUGUGGAAUAAUGGUUUCCACCCAGCGUGGGGAGGGUGUGAAUUUUGCAGUAAAAAGUGCACAUGUUGGUCCGUCAACACCUAUGCACGAAUUUGCAAAGCAAAUGGCAAAGUACCUGCACCAUGAGAUGAUGAUUGAGGCAUCUGCUACUUACCAUAACACGACUAGGCCAAAAACACUUGGAAACUGGGGGUUUGAAUUACGUGUCGCAAGGGUGUACACCAAAGCUGUUUUUGAGAGAUUUGAGAAGACCAUGAAGUUAGCAACCAGCUACAAGGCAGUCUGAGAUGACGAUGGCGGUCCACAUGCAUGGCUCGUCCAGCACAGCAAUGCAGCAUCAAAGAUUGUGUGUUGACAGCACAAAUUCAAGAUACAUGCUAAUGAAGACAUAGGGGAGUUCAAGUGUGAAUGCAAUACAUGGGAACAAACAGGGCUCCUCUGUGCACACCUGUGCCGAGUGUUCAUGCAGGUUAACCUCGAUCGCAUACCAGGCAAGUAUAUCCUCCGGCGAUACACCCGAGAUGCCAAAAAGAACCUCCCUUUCGAUCGGAUGGACAAAAAGCUACAAGGCAAGGAUGGAGAGACGUACCGGCAAAGACACAACAGGCUGUUCCGAUCUGCAUUGAAGCUCAUAACUCGUGCCAUCAUGUCAUCGUUCGGAACUGACAAAGCUGAUGAUGCAAUGAAUGAUGCAUAUCAAGUAAUUUUGCACGCCCAGCCAGACAUUGAUUUCUAUACCAAUGCGGAUACAAAGGAAGCCGUCUUGCCGUCAAGGAGUGACCCGGAGGAUGGUGCAUUUACAUAAUCAGAUGUGGGCAGGGAUGCGAGAGGUCAGGCACCACCAAAUCACGAUAAAGCGCAGGGUGUCUAUGGCCGAAUCGCCACAAGCUAUGAUGAGAUUGAAGGUAUGGUUGCACUCGCGGUUUAUAUGAUAACAGUAAUUCCAUUUUGUACCACUGUAAUUUUGUCCUUUCAUUUUUGCGUGCACAGGGGCCUUGUGCGUGGGGGGGGGGGGGGGGGGACGUCAGCCUACACCCUCCGGAUAAGAGUCGGUGAAAGCAUCUAGACCCCUAAUUCGAGUUUUGGUAAUCAAUAACAACAAUUUGUAGAUUAACGAUUUCAUUUGAGAUAAUGAGCAUAGGUUGAUCCAUGGAUGAAAGGGAUUUGAAUGUGAACGUGUGGAGUUUUGGAGAUGAUGUGCAAUGCUCGGGCUCAAGGCAAAGGUAUCAAAUAUGACUUUUGAAAUUUUACCGGUCAUAAGGUGUUUAGUGGAUGAAAAAUGACCGGAUUUGUUGGAUAGAUAGCCAUUCUAUCAAGAGGGGUCGUGUACUCGUGCUUGACGGGUCUUUAGUGCCAUUUUGCUAAAAAUGUCUAGAUUCAUGCAUGAGGGCUAACGACGUUUUGAAAAAGUUUGAGAAAGAUCUAAAGUUUGAGAGAUAACUGCCUAAGUGCGGACAGUACGCCCUUGGUGCGCGAACGGUUCGCCCCCGUACCAGAGAGCAUGUUAGACUCUGGUUGGAAUUAAAUUUGGCUGGUGGACAGUCCGGCCCAGGUGGGCGGACGGUCUGCCUCACUAAUCAUUUUUUGUCCAGAGACUUGUGUUGUCUCUGUUG